rnacentral:rRNA from 1 species
GUGUCAGCAGCCGCGGUAAGACGAAGGUGGCAACCGUUGCUCGGAAUCACUGGGCAUAAAGCGCACGUAGGUGGCUAAGUAAGUCGGUGGUGAAAUACCUUGGCUCAACCAAGGAAGUGCCAUCGAUACUGCCAUGCUUGAGGACGGGAGGGGUGAGUGGAACUCUUGGUGUAGCGGUGAAAUGCGUAGAUAUCAAGAGGAACGCCGGUGGCGAAAGCGACUCACUGGACCGCUCCUGACACUGAGGUGCGAGAGCUAGGGGAGCAAACAGGAUUAGAUACCCUGGUAGUCC